CAGUCGCCGCGGUAAUACGAAGGGUGCAAGCGUUAAUCGGAAUUACUGGGCGUAAAGCGUGCGCAGGCGGUUUGUUAAGACAGAUGUGAAAUCCCCGGGCUCAACCUGGGAACUGCAUUUGUGACUGGCAAGCUAGAGUGUGGCAGAGGGGGGUGGAAUUCCGCGUGUAGCAGUGAAAUGCGUGGAUAUGCGGAGGAACACCGAUGGCGAAGGCAAUCCCCUGGACCUGUACUGACGCUCAUGCACGAAAGCGUGGGGAGCAAACAGGAUUAGAUACCCGGGUAGUCCCUGUCUCUUAUAA
rnacentral:rRNA from 1 species